rnacentral:rRNA from 1 species
CCUACGGGAUGCUGCAGUCGAGAAUCAUUCACAAUGGGGGAAACCCUGAUGGUGCGACGCCGCGUGGGGGAAUGAAGGUCUUCGGAUUGUAAACCCCUGUCAUGUGGGAGCAAAUUAAAACGAUAGUACUACACGAGGAAGAGACGGCUAACUCUGUGCCAGCAACCGCGGUAAUACAGAGGUCUCAAGCGGUGUUCGGAAUCACUGGGCGUAAGGCGUGCGUAGGCUGUUUCGUAAGUCGUGUGUGAAAGGCGCGGGCUCAACCCGCGGACGGCACAUGAUACUGCGAGACUAGAGUAAUGGAGGGGGAACCGGAAUUCUCGGUGUAGCAGUGAAAUGCGUAGAUAUCGAGAGGAACACUCGUGGCGAAGGCGGGUUCCUGGACAUUAACUGACGCUGAGGCACGAAGGCCAGGGGAGCGAAAGGGAUUAGAUACCCCAGUAGUC